rnacentral:lncRNA from 1 species
CACAGUCUCCGUCGCAGAACACUGCCUCCUGCAGGAGCAGCUUUAGAGAGCUCAGUCUGCCCCUUGGGGUGAAUGCUGAGGGAUUUCCCAGUGUGGGAAAAACCUGGUCCCAGUGGAUGAGAGCCACCCAACCAAGAGAGGAGGUGCUGAGAUCAGCAAAUGAGGAUGACCGAUCCAAGACUGCACAGAAUGACAUUUACGGGGGACUUACAGGCGGAAGUGUUUCAAAUGGCAGAAAGGCAGGGCUUAGAGUUAUGUCAGCACAGGAAGGCCGCACGCCUGUGCAGCUGGCGCGCUCUGCUCACUGUUUUGGUACCACAGUGCCCUCUCCGGAAGGAGCAUGCUGGAGCAACCAGGAUUCCACAGGACACAGCACCAGGGGAGCUGACCCACACUCCUUCCCUCCCCUCCCAAGCCUGUGUCAGCCUCUGCCUGUCCGUGGAAACUUCUACUGAUGCAGCCUCGUGACAGACACAGCCAGAGCCACCCAGGGGAGCCACUUCCGGAUUCCCUGACUCUACGAACCAUGCAGGAAAAGAAACUAUUUUAAG